rnacentral:rRNA from 1 species
UACACACCGCCCGUCACACCAUGGGAGGUGGGUUGCAACCAGAAGUAGCUAGUCUAACCUUCGGGGAGGACGGUUACCACGGUGUGAUUCAUGACUGGGGUG